UGCCGCUGAUUGAAGCAGAAUAUGAACUCUCCAUUGACAAAGUUGCGAGAGUAGAAACAUGUUUUGCUAUUGUUUUUGCCUUGGUCAAUCCAUUCUUUGGACAUCUAUCAGAUCAGAUCAGCCGGAGGACCCUCAUGUGUCUGGGAGUAACGUAUUGGACUCUGUUUGUUGCGAGCUGUUCCGUAAUUCCCCAGGAGUGGGGUUGGACCAUCCCUUUUAUACGGAGUGCCGUGGCCGCAAUAGAAAGUUUUUUUGCAGGCAUUUCCCUGACCCUGAUUGAUGACCUGUGCCCACCUGAAAAUCGUCGAGGGACUUUAUGCAUGUUUAACAGUGUCAGCUAUAUAAUGGGGUA